rfam:Triticum aestivum genome assembly, contig: Triticum_aestivum_CS42_TGACv1_scaffold_515008_6BS
UAAAUACUCCCUCCAUUCCAAAUUACUCGUCGCAGAACAGAUGUAUCUAGAACUAAAAUACAUCUAGAUACAUCCAUACCUGCGACAAGUAAUUUGGAACGGAGGGAGUAUAAG